CCGAGAAAAGGCGCUCUGCGUCCGGCCUCCAACCCUUUGUUCGUCUCAACCAUGUUGCCUCGGGGGGCGACCCGGCCCUCGUGCCGGGCGACCCCGGAGGUCCAUCAAACUCUGCAUCCUUGCGUCGGAGUAUUGAAAGCAAAUCAAUCA
rnacentral:misc_RNA from 1 species